CUUAAUUUUCCCCCGCUAAAACCCUAAAGCGCAUACUUCUGUGGUUUUUGAGGACACCUCUGAAGAUGCAGUGCUGUAUUCAGCGUCCCUCACUUUCAUCAAUCCAACUAGCUGCACCUGAUGAUCAGCUCACUGCAGAUCCAAAGGACUUCCAGCUGAAGGGAAUAUCCUGAUGAAGCACUGCAUUUAAGCCAUGACUGCUCUGGGCAAAGUUGCCGGGGACUUGACCUUGUUGCUACCGUGUGACGACUGUUUGUUCAACGUUGUGACGCUGAGGAUCGCUCCAGGUUUGAUGCACCGCGCCUGUUAAGGAGUUGGGUGAGGGUCAUGCUCCAUCAGCACACUUCAGAGGCAAAGUCCGGGUCAAUAACCACUUGGGGGGUGCCGGCGGGAUUUCCUGGGUCCAGAACUAUCGGGCUCCAAUCCAUUUAGCGCUAAGGAGAGUGCGCCGUCCUCCACCUCGCCAGGCCGUUAAUUCUGAAGCAGCAGGACCUUCGUG